UAGCAGUCGUCUUCCUCACUCUUCCGUGAGGCCUUUUUGGGGAAAGAAAUCGGAAGUAGGAAACAUCGGUGGAGGGUAGAUGCGCCAGACGCAGCAGCCAGCGCAGGGCCAGACUGCGACGGUGAGCCCUAACACUGCUGCGCCUCACUCCGGCGGCUCUGCAGAGGAGGCGCCGCCGAAGCAGGUGGCACUCGCCAUGGAUAGACUCGGCCACGCCGCCCGUCUCAUCGCCGACAUCAGGCUCGGCGCCGAUCGCCUUCUCGAAGCCCUAUGCGUCACCGCGCACCCUCACCAGAGCACCAAGCCUCUCCACUUGUUUCAGAAAGAAGACGAUUCGAUGCGCCAACACCUCCGAGACCUUCGCGCAGUUGGAAAGCAGCUCGAAGAGUCUGGUGUUCUCAGUGAAUCUCUUCUUUCACGAAGUAAUUCUUGGGGUCUACAUAUGCCUUUAGUGUGUCCUGACGGUGCAGUGGUUGCUUAUGCUUGGAAACGUCAACUGGCUGGUCAGGCGGGUGCAUCUGCAGUUGACCGGACGAGGUUAGCUCUUAAGGCCUUCACUGACCAGAAAAGACGGUUCUUCCCUCAUCUUGAUGAUGAAAGCAGGUUGAAUCUUGAGCCUGCUCUGAAGAAGCCUUGUUUUUCUCACGGAGUGACAGAGAUUAAACAAGACGAGCUUAAUGAACCUAGAACACUUUCAGAUAUUCUAACAUGUAUGGAAAAGGAAGUGCCAGAUCUUAAGAUUUUCACUUACGAGCGAUUAGACUGGUUGAAACAAGCUCCAGCACUUUCCUCACAAGCAAAUGAUAAUUCGAUCGGAGCACUAAAAGAACAUAACUAUCAUAGUCCUAGGAUGGGCCCUGGAUCACUUGCUGCCAGUUCCAAAGAUAAAGUUUCUGUGAUUGAGUUGAUUAUUCCUUCUGUCUUUAGGGCCGUAGUAUCACUGCAUCCAGUUGGUUCCGUAGAACCAGAUGCUGUAGCUUUCUUUGCUCCUGAUGAGUAGACACGUGACGGAGCAUGCUGCCACUGUGCUGCAGUAUUUUCUUGGAAUUCAAGAAAAAGCAGCUCUAUAUCCUCUAUUGCUUUGGAUCUGCAGCUACCAAAAUUUAUUUUCAAAAGCUUGUAGUAAAUGCGGACGGCUACUUUCUGUUAAUAAACAAUCAGAUUUAUUGUUACCUCCUGCCAUUCGCCCUUACAAGCAGUUUUGUACAUCAAGAGUCUUAUCAGCUGUGCCCAUAUCCUCACUGAAAGACCAGAGGUCUGAUCCUGUUCAAGCUUUUCACAUCGGUUGCUUCUCAGAAGAACUAUAGUCACACCUAGCUGUACAGGACCGUGUGGACUGUGAUUCAAAUGCUGUACAAUAUCUGGAUUCUUUAUUGAUAAUAUGCUCACAAUCAGAAGAGGAUGCAGCCCGCUUGCUAUCUUGUGGUGCUGCUUUUGGUGAUUCACUAGCUUGUGCAUUAUAUUUCCUUCCAGGUGAUAUAUGCUAGGGAAAAAUCUUAUUUGUAAUUGUUGCCCACCGCGUUUCAAGUACAUGAUGGGGUGUGAUGUUCAGAUUAUUCAUUGGAAUCCAUGGUGAUGUCAAAAGAACCGUUGAUUUUCUGUUGGCUCAAGUAGCUUGCCGUAUGUCAAGGCAAGCAAAGGUCACUCACUACUUUGCUUCGAUUUAGCUAGAAAGUUGGGAAAAACAAAUCUCUAUUCAUGUGCGGGACCGUUUGUGUUUGGUGGGAAGGUUGGAGCUUCUUGUUAAAAGUUUCCAACUUCACUGUCAUUUCAACUUGCAACAGGUAAAUUACAACUCCCUAAAAAAAGAAAAGGUUAUUACCACAAGUGAAUUAUCUUGCAACACAAGAAGAAUUACCUUCAUGUCGUAAAGAACUAUGACUAAGCACUCAUCAGUGCUCUAUACUCUUUAAGACAAAUGUCAUCCUAGGAGAUUCGUGACAAAAGGAGCAUCGUUUUUAAGAAGAAAAGUGUCUGUCCUAUAUAAAUUUUAGGAGAUUUGUGAUAAAAGAAGCAUCGUUUUUAAGAGGAA